rnacentral:sRNA from 1 species
GAUGAUAUGAUUGGUGGAGAUAUCACCCCUAUCUAGUGCUGUCAACCUAUCUAUUGCUGCUAAGCUAUCCCUCGCUGCUAAGCUAUCGCCGCUGCCAACCUAUCUAUUGCUGCAAGCUAUCCCUCACUGCUAAGCUAUCGCUGCCAACCUAUCUAUCGCUGCCAACCUAUCGCCGCUGCCAAUCUAUCCCUCGCUGCUAAGCUAUCCCUCGCUGCCAACCUAUCUAUCGCUGCCAACCUAUCGCCGCUGCCAAUCUAUCCCUCGCUGCUAAGCUAUCCCUCGCUGCUAAGCUAUCCCUCACUGCUAAGCUAUCCCUCGCUGCUAAGCUAUCCCUCGCUGCUAAGCUAUCGCUGCCAACCUAUCUAUCGCUGCCAACCUAUCGCUGCUGCCAAUCUAUCCCUCGCUGCUAAGCUAUCCCUCGCUGCUAAGCUAUCGCUGCCAACCUAUCUAUCGCUGCCAAACUAUCGCCGCUGCCAAUCUAUCCCUCGCUGCUAAGCUAUCCCUCACUGCUAAGCUAUCCCUCGCUGCUAAGCUAUCCCUCACUACUAAGCUAUCUAUCACUGCUAAUCUAUCGCUGCCAACCUAUCUAUCACUGUCAAUCUAUCUAUUGCUGCUAAUCUAUCGCUGCUAAUCUAUCGCUGCUAAUCUAUUGCUGCUGCCAAUCUAUCUAUUGCUGCUAAUCUAUCGCUGCUAAUCUAUCGCUGCUAAUCUAUUGCUGCUGCCAAUCUAUCUAUCACUGCUAAUCUAUUGCUGCUAAUCUAUCACUGCUAAUCUAUCGCUGCUAAUCUAUCGCUGCUAAUCUAUCGCUGCCAACCUAUCUACCGCGGCGAAUCUAUCUAUUGCUGCCAACCAACCUACCACUGCCAACCUAUCUAUCGCUGCCAAUCUAUUGCUGCCAAUCUAUCGCUGCCAACCUAUCUACUGCAGUGAAUCUAUCUAUCACUAUCAUUACUAGUUCAAAAUAGAACUAGAGCAUAAAUACACUAAACUUCUUUUGAUAGGUAAUGAUUUUUGAUAACACUCAUAGCAUUAUAUCAUCUAUAUAGGGUAAAUCAUGGUCCCAUUUGGUCCCAUUUUGUUAAAAUGGGAUCAAAUGGGACCAGAAUCAGAAAUUUAUAAGAAGAACAUGAUCUAGGACUAGAUUUAUAAUAUAAACAGUGUAAAGUGACUAAUUUAAUAAACACUAUAUGAGACCAGAACUAAGAAAUUUGAUAAUGGAACUGAAGAAAUAUUUAGUCCCAGUUCCAUGCAUGGUCACACAGUCAGUCUACUGUCUUGAAGAAUACCACCACCCUCAACAUCUACAAAUCAUCACUCACCUCAGUAGAGAGGAAUAAUAUGAUGAAUUAAUAUUCAUUAGUAGUUAAUUUAUGCAAUCAAUCUCUUCUGUCUCAUACUUCAUAUUUGCAUACAUCUACUCAUCUCUGUUAUUGUAUUUCAUAUUUGUGUAGUCUCUAACAAUUCUUCUGUAUAAUCUCUUCUAUCUUACACUCUGUGCUUGUGUAGUUCUAAUGAUUCUUUUGUGUAACUUUCAAUGUUCUUUUACUUCAUAUUCUGUUCUAUACUUCACUGUGAAGUGGCUUCUGAUAUUCUUCUGCUCUGAUCUUCUCUCUAUAAAAAUCUUCUUUGUAUGACCUUUUCUUCUGAUCUCUUUUCUCUUUCUUUUCUUAAUCAAUUCAUAAUCUGUAUUUAGAAUAGUGCU